CCGCGAAACCGCCGGUAGGCGGUCUGCCAGGCGUGGUGGCCUAGUACUGAUGAGCAGCCAGAU
rnacentral:hammerhead_ribozyme from 1 species